AAUUUUGGACAAUGGGGGAAACCCUGAUCCAGCCAUCCCGCGUGUAUGAUGAAGGCCUNCGGGUUNUNAAGUACUUUUGGCAGAGNAGAAAAGGUAUCUCCUAAUACGAGAUACUGCUGACGGUAUCUGCAGAAUAAGCACCGGCUAACUACGUGCCAGCAGCCGCGGUAAUAGGGAGGGUGCAAGCGUUAAUCGGAAUUACGGGGCGUAAAGCAUAUGUAGGCGGUUCGGAAAGAAAAAUGUGACAUCAAAGGGCUCAACCUUGGAACUGCAUUUUUAACUGCCGAGCUAGAGUAUGUCAGAGGGGGGUAGAAUUCCACGUGUAGCAGUGAAAUGCAUAGAUAUGUGGAGGAAUACAGAUGGCGAAGGCAGCCCCCUGGGAUAAUACUGACGCUCAGACACGAAAGCGUGGGGAGCAAACA
rnacentral:rRNA from 1 species